rnacentral:tRNA from 1 species
GGUGGGAUGGCAGAGCGGACGAUUGCGCGCGCCUUGAGAGCGCGAGUCCUUUUUAAGGAUCGGAGGUUCGAAUCCUCCUCCCACCG